rnacentral:lncRNA from 1 species
CAGCACGUGGCGCCGCCUUCGACCGUGGACCUGGUCUGCGUGGCCCAGGCGCUCCACUGGUUCGACCUCCCCACCUUCUACGACGGGGUCAACUCGGUCCUGGCCAAGCCCGGAGGCGUCCUCGCCGUGUGGUGCUAUACCGAGCCCCGAGUCGACCCGGCGGUGGACACGGUGUUCUGGCGCCUGUACACCGAAUCGGGCCGGUUCUGGGCAGCGGCACGACAGAUGGUGGAUGACGAGUACAGGAGCAUGCUGUUCCCGUACGAUCCGGUGGACGGGGAGGAAAGCACGGGGCCGUUUGAGUUCGCGGCGGAGCGGGCCAUGGACAUGGGGACGUAUCUCACCUACAUUAGGUCGUGGUCGGCGUAUCAGACGGCUAAGGAAAGGGGA